CGCUGUAGAACGGCGGUCGCCUGUUCUCUGGGCCGCGGGAGCUGUUCGCUGCGGCCCGCCCCCUAUAGACACGGUGCCGAGGGCCGUACACCGAGCGCAGCCGCCACCGGGGCCAGGGCUAUGGAACAGGCGUGUCCCCGGGGGCCGACCCGGCCGAGGGGGCGGGGUGCCUGGGUUCCCCGAGCCAAGCGCUGGGGCAGGGCGCCUGGCAGCGGUGCCCGCUCCGAGCGUCUAAAGAUCACGAGACUGGCCCCAGGAUCCCGGGGGUUUGCAAGGGACACCAGUGGGGGUGGGUGAUUUUGGCCCCAAAGCAGGCACGCUGCUUGGACCCGAGAUCAAACUGUAGAGUUGUGCCCACGCUAUAAAAUGCUGCUGGGUGGGGCGGAGUCUCCAGCCUGAACCCGGCCCUGAACAAUUUGAAUGAGUUAACCUGGUGCCCCAGGUCUGCCCAGCCGGGAAUUGUACAUCGCCGCCCAGUGACGCGUUUGGCCCUCACUGCUCUCCGACUCCUUCUGCAGUUCUAGUGCUUCUCCACAUCCCCUUCCGGGUCUGAAAUGGGAGGCAGAUCCUGGGGCUCUUCUCCCCUUUCCCAGACCUGGAUUGCAGGGGUGAAGAUGGAGGGCAUCGAGCCUGCCAACCAGUUUAUUACAGAUUUUUCCUGGAAGCAUUGCUUGAAGGAUGUGAAAUUGCCUCAGGAAAGUGGGGAUGGCUCACACAAAAUUCUGGAUACUCUAUAGUAAUCGUAAUCCAUUUAGAAAGUCUUAAGGGAAAUGAUGCCAAUAAGAAAAUCAGAAGUUGCAAGCAUCAAAGGAGAUUUUCUGUCCAGAGCAAUUAAGGCUUGCUCAGCACAUGCUCUCCCACCAGAUCCCCAGACCUAAAGAGAGCCUUUGGCAGGAUCUCAGAGAAGUGGGAAACACUGCCAUACAACUAGCUACCUCACCACCUCCCCCUUUUCUACAUGGGAAGUGAAGAUUUUUAUACAGAAGGGAAUUAUUGGGUUCUAAGAUUUCCAGGGCUCCCCCUGCUGGCAGAUUGCUGUGAGGGGACUCAACAUCCCUGUGGUAGCAUCUGUCACAGGACAGCCUGCACAAGCCCACCUGCAUCUGAAGGUCCUUCCCCCAGCCUUGUGGGAGGGACCACUGGACCUGGGAACCAACUGAAUACGUGGGACAACUAAUAAAUAACAGGGUUAGGAGUGAAAGUCACAGGUUCAAGAUUGGGGAUACCGAGCAGAGAACCCUGGAGAGUGCCCACUGCUCCUCAAAGCUGUCUAGGGAGCCAGCAGAUGCCACCCAGAGGAACUCUGCCUGGAUGCGUGAGACCAGGGAGGAGAGGAAAUAGGCCCCACUGUUGCAGAGCACCUGCCUUAGUGGAAAUCCAGCCUUGUGGGUGGGACCACUGGACCCAGGAACAACUAAGGAAUAACUGAGUCAGUAGUGAAGGUCACAGUUCAAAACUAGGGAUCCAGAGGGGGACACCGAGUAGAGAACCCUGGAGAGCGCCCACUGCUCCUCAAAGUUGUCUAAGGAGCCAGCGGACACUGCCCAGAGGAACUCUGCCCAUAUGCAUGAGACCAGGGAGGAACGGAAAUAGGCCCCACAGUCGCAGAGCACCUGCCCUGUUACAGGACCGGGAGAUCUUGGGCUAGUCUGCCCUAUUAAUUAGCACCACCUUUGUGAUAAUUAGCUGCUUCCCAGCCUGAGGGGUGGAUGGAAUGAAUGGGGUCAAGUGUUAGCCUGAUGAACACCUGGGCUGUAUUAAAAGGACUGAGUCUGAGAGAAGGGAAGAGGAACUACAGUAAGCUGGUUAGGUGCUAUGGGAGGCCCUAGAGAUAGUGUUUGCAAGAAACAGGGAGGUCCCUGAAGGAAGCUUCUGGAGUCUCCUGGGAAGGAAGGCAGUCAGACCUUGCUAAUAAAGGGUUGUCAGCGAGAAAGCCCUAGGAGGCAGUGCUCAGCUAGAAGAGCAAAGAAGAACUAUGCAGAGAACAGGAGUAGGGGCAAAAAGCAGGGAAUUUCAGUGAGUCGUAGACUGUGAGAGGGGCUCUUGGGAAAGCAGCCUGGAAGUCAAUGCUCUGUAACAGAGCAGGGAAGGAAUUAAAGGUAGCCCAGAAGGGGCUGAGAACCAAUCCCAGAGGACAAGCUGAUGUAGCUCACAAGGGGCAGAAUAACUGUUUAGACGUUCUCUUUGGACUUUUGUUACACUGAAAGGGGACUAAAUUUGGAAGGUGACCUGACUGGAGGACUGGGACCUGGAAGCUGCUGUAAAAUCAGCAUGGCAAAUAGCAGUCCUGAUUAUAAGAACUCCUGCAACACCAUGUCCUGGCUUGAGGGGUUCUGGGAUGGUGAGUUCUGCCCUAUUCCAGGGUGAUGCUCUGUAUCUCAGGGGAACCCCCCUGAACCCCCAUGUUCAUCCUUAUAAUAUGAUUGUGUGGUAUGCAAUGCAAAGUUUGUCAUGUCGGGUAUCUUCAGAAGGUUCAUGAUGCACUGAGCAUUGUUGUUAUAGUAAU